UACGGGGGGGGCAAGCGUUGUUCGGAAUUACUGGGCGUAAAGGGCUCGUAGGUGGCCAACUAAGUCAGACGUGAAAUCCCUCGGCUUAACCGGGGAACUGCGUCUGAUACUGGAUGGCUAGAGUUUGGGAGAGGGAUGCGGAAUUCCAGGUGUAGCGGUGAAAUGCGUAGAUAUCUGGAGGAACACCGGUGGCGAAGGCGGCUCUCUGGGACGGUACUGACGCUGAGACGCGAAAGCGUGGGGAGCGAACAGG
rnacentral:rRNA from 1 species